GCAUGAUUAGCUCAGAUGGUAGAGCGUCUGGCUUUCAAUCAGGAGAUCUGGGGUUCGAAUCCCUCGGUCUGCACCA
rnacentral:tRNA from 1 species